rnacentral:rRNA from 1 species
AUGCCUGUUCGAGCGUCAUUUCAACCCUCAAGCCCCCGGGUUUGGUGUUGGGGAUCGGCGAGCCCUUGCGGCAAGCCGGCCCCGAAAUCUAGUGGCGGUCUCGCUGCAGCUUCCAUUGCGUAG